GGCGAUUGUGUACAUAUAUACAUCUCCACUUUAUUUAACUUUAGAUCGGAAAGUUAUCCUAAUUCUGAAUGUGCCUUUGUAUCUCUUCCAAUAUUACCUUUAUUUCCUUAAGGUAGCUUGUACUAAACAUUUUUAUAGCCGAAACUGUACUAAGACUGGUCAUGAAAUUUUAACAGUGAGUUAUCAGGGUGAAAUAGAGCCUCCGGUGAAUUUCUCACAAUUUUUAGUGAAGGGCAUCUUUUUC
rnacentral:lncRNA from 1 species